GGAAGUUGUAGUUCCAGACCCUAGCAAGUCUUGACUCGUCCUCUCCUUCCAUUUCAUUGACUCUUAACAGACCACAGACUCUGAGACCGCUUCAGAUUACGCAUUGAUCAUUUCAAGGUAUAAGAUGAGAGGAAUUUUCUUUAAUCACCGGAUCUGGGCGCUGCUGCUGCUGCUGCUUAGAAAGUAUCUGGAAGGCGCGCAUGCGCGUGAAGACUGGGAGAGGUGAGAGAGAAGAAGAAGAAGAAGGAGGAGGAGGAGGAGGAGGAAGAAGAGGAAGAGGAAGAGGAAGAAGGAGAAGGAGAAGGAGAAGGAGAAGGAGAAGGAGAAGGAGAAGGAGAAGGAGAAGGAGAAGGAGAAGGAGAAGGAGAAGGAGAAGAAGAAGAAGAAGAAGAAGAAGAAGAAGAAGAAGAAGAAGAAGAAGAAGAAGAAGAAGAAGAAGAACCAGAAUAGUACUCUUCAAUUUAAAGGAGAUUUCAAGCUUAAGAUAAAGAUUUCCUACUUAAGGCAGGAAAUGACUGAGUGCUUAGUCAAUUGCUAAAAACACGAAAACUAGCAAGGCAAAGAAGCAGUGUGUGGGAUGGGGUGGGAUGGGAAGUUAGUCUACAGAGAGGGGAAAUCUCCACUCUCUAGAAGGGCAAAAGCGUGGCACUUCUUCCACAGCGGUGAAGAGCUGGUCAUGCCCUUCUUUUCUGUGCCACUUAUGGGGUGACCUGGCAUUGUUUCUGCCUCCACAAUGAGUGACCAAGUAGUGCUUGUUUUGCUUAGGGAAGCCAGAGGUUUUGCAGGGUAAUCAAAGUUUGAGAAAGGUUCUCAGAAAAUCUCUUUGGCUCCAGAUCAAGCCACAGUGCCCAGGUCAGCUUCAUCAAUAAGUAAAACUGAGAUGUUGAAUCUUUAUUGGCUUGCCUCUGGCUUUCCUUCUCAGCAAAUUUGAAACUCUGAAAAAGAAAACAGGCUAGUUUUGUGUUUUGUUUUGUUUUGUUUUGUUUUGGUUUGGUUUGGUUUGGUUUGGUUUGGUUUGGUUUUUGCCUCUUCACACCACCCCACACCAGGGAAGAAAGUCUUGAGAUGGGUCAAUCUGGAAGCAGCAUCUAGGCCUAGGGUCACCAAUGAAUGGGAGUCUGUACUGAUUAGGCUUUUUGUCAUCUUGACAUAAACUGAGAUCAUCUGGGAAGAGGGAACCUCAACUGAGAAAAUACAUCAGACUGACUUGUGUGGAAGCCCACUGUGGUUAUUUUCUUGAUUGACGAUGGAGGCGGGUCCAGCCCACUGUGGGAAGAAAGCAGGCUGAAUAAGCCUGAGGAGCAAGCCAGUAUGAAGUAUUCCUCUAAGGUCUCGGCUUUAGUUCCUGCUUCUAGGUUCCUUACUUCCCUCAGUAAUAUAAAAACCAAACAUACCCUUUCUUCUCCGAAGUUACCUUUCAUCCUGGUGUUUAUCACAGCGAUAGAAAGCAAAAUUCAACAGAGCUCCGGGAUGUUUCUGUACCAGGACCCAAAUCAGCCACUGCUGCUUUAGAGGCUUAAAAAUAAAUGUAGUCUCCCAGACUCCAAAAUGUCUGGAUGCCCUAGAACCAGCCACGAAGAGGAGAAGCCCCAACCAGUGGCUAGAGUUUACUGAGCUAGACACAAAAGAGCUUCCAGAACUAACUUCUGACUAGCUGGGUGUGAGCUGGACACCUCUGACUCAUGCUGUUUUCUCUUCCCCGAAUUCCUUCUGUCCAUUGUUUUCACUUACUGGGUGCAAGGAGAGGGUCAUUGUCCCUGAGUUAAAGGCUUUUUAUCUUUGUGAUAAUUCCUAUCCAUCAUUCCAGACUCUGAGACACCUGUGCGGCUGGGGGCCUCUGCUUGUCUUGCCUCCAUGUCUUGGUGUGUUGCGAUGUUGGUUCGCCUGCUCCUCACUGUGGCCUCAGCAUCUUUACAGAUUGUGCUGUCCUCCAGCACGUGUCUACCACCCCUGCUCCUUUCUUCUUCCAGCUCUGCCCAGCUGUGCCGUUCAGCCUGCCUCGAACAGACCUUUCACCUCUUCGUGUUAUCUGACAAGCUCCUACAUCUUUCUUUGUGUGCCCUUCAGAAGCUUUGUUGACCUCAGAAAGAGUUGGUCGCGGCUUUACCCUCCACCUUGUGACUCUGAAAAUGUAACCUUUACCCACCUUGACAUCUAAGACAUUCUAUUGAAAAGUUUGUUUAUUCAAUGAUCCCUGGAACUUGAGCUUCUUCUACAAGAUGUUUUCUCCCUUCUUUCUUUCAUUUAUACCCUUUAACUUGGAACCUAAUUGAUACCCAAGAAACACUGAAUGAAUGGAUUACAUUGUUUGUUCACACAUAUGUCCCUUCUUGCUUCUUUAUUAAGUAAGUCUUUGAGGUUAGGAGCGUGGCUCAUUUGUAUAUAAUUCCUCUCUACUGGUGUAGUACCUGAUAAAGCAAUCGGCAUUCAAGCCCUCUG